rnacentral:rRNA from 1 species
UACGUAGGGGGCAAGCGUUGUCCGGAAUCAUUGGGCGUAAAGCGCGCGUAGGCGGCCCUGUAAGUCCGUUGUGAAAGUCAAAGGCUCAACCUUUGACUGCCGAUGGAUACUGCAGGGCUAGAGUCCGGAAGAGGCGAGUGGAAUUCCUGGUGUAGCGGUGGAAUGCGCAGAUAUCAGGAGGAACACCGAUGGCGAAGGCAGGUCUCUGGGCCGCAACUGACGCUGAGGAGCGAAAGCAUGGGGAGCGAACAGG